UAGCUCAUGAGCCCAGCUUCGGUGUC
rnacentral:piRNA from 1 species